UACGUAGGGUGCAAGCGUUUAAUCGGAAUUACUGGGCGUAAAGCGUGCGCAGGCGGUUUUGUAAGCCAGAUGUGAAAUCCCCGGGCUUAACCUGGGAAUGGCAUUUGGGACUGCAAGGCUGGAGUUUGGCAGAGGAGACUGGAAUUCCUGGUGUAGCAGUGAAAUGCGUAGAUAUCAGGAGGAACACCGAUGGCGAAGGCAGGUCUCUGGGCUGAAACUGACGCUCAUGCACGAAAGCGUGGGGAGCAAACAGG
rnacentral:rRNA from 1 species